ensembl:antisense_RNA K11D9.5 ncRNA
GAUUCCAGCGUGGUUACAAGCCUUGAUCGAGUCCGAAACUUCAGUUCUUGGGGGGUCAAGCAUUCCGACGACUCCGACAAAUGUGAUGUCUUGUUCGUAUUUGACGAAUUGGGUAGAGUCUUCGAGGUUCAUGUUGCUAACGCUGACUGGGGUAUCGAUGGUUCCGAGGGCAAGACAACGAAGGGUAUCUCUUCCGGUUCCGUAUUGCACGCAUUGGUCAACAAUCUUCUGAGUCAUGGCAGAGGUGGAUCCGGAGAUGGCGAACUCGGUGAAGUUGAUGUUGUCUCCAGAAGCUUGUCCAGCGAU